rnacentral:rRNA from 1 species
GACAGAGGGUGCAAACGUUGUUCGGAAUUAUUGGGCGUAAAGAGCUUGUAGGCGGUUUGUCGCGUCUGCUGUGAAAAUCCGGGGCUCAACCCCGGACUUGCAGUGGGUACGGGCAGACUAGAGUGUGGUAGGGGAGACUGGAAUUCCUGGUGUAGCGGUGGAAUGCGCAGAUAUCAGGAGGAACACCGAUGGCGAAGGCAGGUCUCUGGGCCACUACUGACGCUGAGAAGCGAAAGCAUGGGGAGCGAACAGG